rnacentral:snRNA from 1 species
AGCUUUGCACGGUAACAGUAUUCUAGCCAGUGAGGUUUAUCCAAGGCACAAUUAUUGCUAAUUGAAAACUUUUCCCUAAAAUG